UGUUUGCAUAAGUGGUAUUAGGUGGC
rnacentral:piRNA from 1 species